rnacentral:rRNA from 1 species
GACGAACGCUGGCGGCGUGCUUAACACAUGCAAGUCGAACGGAAAGGCCCUGCUUUUGUGGGGUGCUCGAGUGGCGAACGGGUGAGUAACACGUGAGUAACCUGCCCUUGACUUUGGGAUAACUUCAGGAAACUGGGGCUAAUACCGGAUAGGAGCUCCUGCUGCAUGGUGGGGGUUGGAAAGUUUCGGCGGUUGGGGAUGGACUCGCGGCUUAUCAGCUUGUUGGUGGGGUAGUGGCUUACCAAGGCUUUGACGGGUAGCCGGCCUGAGAGGGUGACCGGCCACAAUGGGACUGAGAUACGGCCCCGACUCCUACGGGAGGCAGGAGUGGGGAAUAUUGCACAAUGGGCGGAAGCCUGAUGCAGCAACGCCGCGUGCGGGAUGACGGCCUUCGGGUUGUAAACCGCUUUCGGCUGGGACGAAGCGUGAGUGACGGUAAUGGGUAAAGAAGCACCGGCUAACUAAGUG